GCAAUAUAUCAAAAUCAUUCUAAAGACAAACAAUUUAACCAUAAACCUACCUUGUCUAUGCUACGUUGAGCACACAGUAAUAAUGUACAUUAAAUGUCAAAAAUAAUAGCUGAAAAACGUAAAGAAAAUCGUAUUACAUAAUGCGCGUCACAUGGUCAGCACCACGGCGCGAACAGCGCCUAUUUCAACUACCAGGAAAUAAAGGCUCGAUUUGGCAGAGGCGCACCACGUCGAAGGAGAGAGAGAGACGGCGUCAUCGGACAGGUUCCUCCGCUGACUAGACGGGACUUUGUAACUCUGCUGAUUGGCUUGUCUGUGGGUCAUCUUUAUCAUCGGUGACGCAAUCUGGGGCUAAAUGAACACAGCUCGCACACAAAACAGAGCAGACUCCUCAUUAUUUGCUCUAAUCAACUGGAACAAAUAUUUCAGGGAAAACUCAACAGGAGAAAUCACACGUUUCAUGUUUCAUUUGCGAAAUUAUAAAGAUUUAUUGGAGCCACAGUCUUAUCGCAGUGGGGGUUUAAUUGUGCGUUAGAGUGAUAGACAGUUGGCUGGGGCUGUUAAAUGGACUACCUCAUGGACUAAAGGUAUUAUAAAACAGAAAAUUAUUGUGGUGCAACUAGUCA